UCUGGCUGUGAUGACACUUGCCCUCACUGAGAAUAAUGAUCGGUAAUGAGCCUCACCAUGUGCUCAAAUGAGCUGAGCCAGA
ensembl:snoRNA